rnacentral:rRNA from 1 species
UACGAAGGGGGCUAGCGUUGCUCGGAAUCACUGGGCGUAAAGCGCACGUAGGCGGCUUUCUAAGUCAGGGGUGAAAUCCUGGAGCUCAACUCCAGAACUGCCCUUGAUACUGGAGAGCUUGAGUUCGGGAGAGGUGAGUGGAACUGCGAGUGUAGAGGUGAAAUUCGUAGAUAUUCGCAAGAACACCAGUGGCGAAGGCGGCUCACUGGCCCGAUACUGACGCUGAGGUACGAAAGCGUGGGGAGCAAACAGG